UGAGGAAUAUUGGACAAUGGAGGCAACUCUGAUCCAGCCAUGCCGCGUGAAGGACUAAGGCCCUAUGGGCUGUAAACUUCUUUAGACGCAGAGCAAUAAGGGCCACGUGUGGUCCGAUGAGAGUAUGCGUAGAAUAAGGACCGGCUAAUUCCGUGCCAGCAGCCGCGGUAAUACGGAAGGUCCGGGCGUUAUCCGGAUUUAUUGGGUUUAAAGGGAGCGCAGGCGGUCUUAUAAGCGUGACGUGAAAUGCAGCGGCUCAACCGUAUGAUGUGCGUCGCGAACUGUGAGACUUGAGUGUAUUCGAUGUCAGCGGAAUUUGUGGUGUAGCGGUGAAAUGCUUAGAUAUCACGAAGAACUCCGAUUGCGAAGGCAGCUGACAAGGCUACAACUGACGCUAAAGCUCGAAAGUGCGGGUAUCGAACAGGAUUAGAUA
rnacentral:rRNA from 1 species